rnacentral:rRNA from 1 species
AGCAGUAGCCGCGGUAAUACGGAGGAUCCAAGCGUUAUCCGGAAUCAUUGGGUUUAAAGGGUCCGUAGGCGGUCUUGUAAGUCAGUGGUGAAAGCCCAUCGCUCAACGGUGGAACGGCCAUUGAUACUGCAGGACUUGAAUUAUUGGGAAGUAACUAGAAUAUGUAGUGUAGCGGUGAAAUGCUUAGAGAUUACAUGGAAUACCAAUUGCGAAGGCAGGUUACUACCAAUUGAUUGACGCUGAUGGACGAAAGCGUGGGUAGCGAACAGGAUUAGAUACCCGAGUAGUCCCUGUCUCUUAUAC